UAGGGAAUCUUCGGCAAUGGACGGAAGUCUGACCGAGCAACGCCGCGUGAGUGAAGAAGGUUUUCGGAUCGUAAAGCUCUGUUGUAAGAGAAGAACGAGUGUGAGAGUGGAAAGUUCACACUGUGACGGUAUCUUACCAGAAAGGGACGGCUAACUACGUGCCAGCAGCCGCGGUAAUACGUAGGUCCCGAGCGUUGUCCGGAUUUAUUGGGCGUAAAGUGAGCGCAGGCGGUUAGAUAAGUCUGAAGUUAAAGGCUGUGGCUUAACCAUAGUACGCUUUGGAAACUGUUUAACUUGAGUGCAAGAGGGGAGAGUGGAAUUCCAUGUGUAGCGGUGAAAUGCGUAGAUAUAUGGAGGAACACCGGUGGCGAAAGCGGCUCUCUGGCUUGUAACUGACGCUGAGGCUCGAAAGCGUGGGGAGCAAACAGGAUUAGAUACCCUGGUAGUCCACGCCGUAAACGAUGAGUGCUAGGUGUUAGACCCUUUCCGGGGUUUAGUGCCGUAGCUAACGCAUUAAGCACUCCGCCUGGGGAGUACGACCGCAAGGUUG
rnacentral:rRNA from 1 species